rnacentral:rRNA from 1 species
GGUUAAGCGACUAAGCGUACACGGUGGAUGCCCUGGCAGUCAGAGGCGAUGAAGGACGUGCUAAUCUGCGAUAAGCGUCGGUAAGGUGAUAUGAACCGUUAUAACCGGCGAUUUCCGAAUGGGGAAACCCAGUGUGUUUCGACACACUAUCAUUAACUGAAUCCAUAGGUUAAUGAGGCGAACCGGGGGAACUGAAACAUCUAAGUACCCCGAGGAAAAGAAAUCAACCGAGAUUCCCCCAGUAGCGGCGAGCGAACGGGGAGCAGCCCAGAGCCUGAAUCAGUGUGUGUGUUAGUGGAAGCGUCUGGAAAGGCGCGCGAUACAGGGUGACAGCCCCGUACACAAAAAUGCACAUACUGUGAGCUCGAUGAGUAGGGCGGGACACGUGGUAUCCUGUCUGAAUAUGGGGGGGACCAUCCUCCAAGGCUAAAUACUCCUGACUGACCGAUAGUGAACCAGUACCGUGAGGGAAAGGCGAAAAAGAACCCCGGCGAGGGGAGUGAAAAAGAACCUGAAACCGUGUACGUACAAGCAGUGGGAGCCUCUUUUAUGGGGUGACUGCGUACCUUUUGUAUAAUGGGUCAGCGACUUAUAUUCUGUAGCAAGGUUAACCGAAUAGGGGAGCCGAAGGGAAACCGAGUCUUAACCGGGCGUUAAGUUGCAGGGUAUAGACCCGAAACCCGGUGAUCUCAGCCAUGGGCAGGUUGAAGGUUGGGUAACACUAACUGGAGGACCGAACCGACUAAUGUUGAAAAAAUUAGCGGAUGACUUGUGGCUGGGGGGUGAAAGGCCAAUCAAACCGGGAGAUAGCUGGUUCUCCCCGAAAGCUAUUUAGGUAGCGCCUCGUGAAUUCAUCUCCGGGGGUAGAGCACUGUUUCGGCAAGGGGGUCAUCCCGACUUACCAACCCGAUGCAAACUGCGAAUACCGGAGAAUGUUAUCACGGGAGACACACGGCGGGUGCUAACGUCCGUCGUGAAGAGGGAAACAACCCAGACCGCCAGCUAAGGUCCCAAAGUCAUGGUUAAGUGGGAAACGAUGUGGGAAGGCCCAGACAGCCAGGAUGUUGGCUUAGAAGCAGCCAUCAUUUAAAGAAAGCGUAAUAGCUCACUGGUCGAGUCGGCCUGCGCGGAAGAUGUAACGGGGCUAAACCAUGCACCGAAGCUGCGGCAGCGACACUGUGUGUUGUUGGGUAGGGGAGCGUUCUGUAAGCCUGUGAAGGUGUACUGUAAGGUAUGCUGGAGGUAUCAGAAGUGCGAAUGCUGACAUAAGUAACGAUAAAGCGGGUGAAAAGCCCGCUCGCCGGAAGACCAAGGGUUCCUGUCCAACGUUAAUCGGGGCAGGGGUGAGUCGACCCCUAAGGCGAGGCCGAAAGGCGUAGUCGAUGGGAAACAGGUUAAUAUUCCUGUACUUGGUGUUACUGCGAAGGGGGGACGGAGAAGGCUAUGUUGGCCGGGCGACGGUUGUCCCGGUUUAAGCGUGUAGGCUGGUUUUCCAGGCAAAUCCGGAAAAUCAAGGCUGAGGCGUGAUGACGAGGCACUACGGUGCUGAAGCAACAAAUGCCCUGCUUCCAGGAAAAGCCUCUAAGCAUCAGGUAACAUCAAAUCGUACCCCAAACCGACACAGGUGGUCAGGUAGAGAAUACCAAGGCGCUUGAGAGAACUCGGGUGAAGGAACUAGGCAAAAUGGUGCCGUAACUUCGGGAGAAGGCACGCUGAUAUGUAGGUGAAGUCCCUCGCGGAUGGAGCUGAAAUCAGUCGAAGAUACCAGCUGGCUGCAACUGUUUAUUAAAAACACAGCACUGUGCAAACACGAAAGUGGACGUAUACGGUGUGACGCCUGCCCGGUGCCGGAAGGUUAAUUGAUGGGGUCAGCGCAAGCGAAGCUCUUGAUCGAAGCCCCGGUAAACGGCGGCCGUAACUAUAACGGUCCUAAGGUAGCGAAAUUCCUUGUCGGGUAAGUUCCGACCUGCACGAAUGGCGUAAUGAUGGCCAGGCUGUCUCCACCCGAGACUCAGUGAAAUUGAACUCGCUGUGAAGAUGCAGUGUACCCGCGGCAAGACGGAAAGACCCCGUGAACCUUUACUAUAGCUUGACACUGAACAUUGAGCCUUGAUGUGUAGGAUAGGUGGGAGGCUUUGAAGUGUGGACGCCAGUCUGCAUGGAGCCGACCUUGAAAUACCACCCUUUAAUGUUUGAUGUUCUAACGUGGACCCGUGAUCCGGGUUGCGGACAGUGUCUGGUGGGUAGUUUGACUGGGGCGGUCUCCUCCUAAAGAGUAACGGAGGAGCACGAAGGUUGGCUAAUCUCGGUCGGACAUCAGGAGGUUAGUGCAAUGGCAUAAGCCAGCUUGACUGCGAGCGUGACGGCGCGAGCAGGUGCGAAAGCAGGUCAUAGUGAUCCGGUGGUUCUGAAUGGAAGGGCCAUCGCUCAACGGAUAAAAGGUACUCCGGGGAUAACAGGCUGAUACCGCCCAAGAGUUCAUAUCGACGGCGGUGUUUGGCACCUCGAUGUCGGCUCAUCACAUCCUGGGGCUGAAGUAGGUCCCAAGGGUAUGGCUGUUCGCCAUUUAAAGUGGUACGCGAGCUGGGUUUAGAACGUCGUGAGACAGUUCGGUCCCUAUCUGCCGUGGGCGCUGGAGAACUGAGGGGGGCUGCUCCUAGUACGAGAGGACCGGAGUGGACGCAUCACUGGUGUUCGGGUUGUCAUGCCAAUGGCACUGCCCGGUAGCUAAAUGCGGAAGAGAUAAGUGCUGAAAGCAUCUAAGCACGAAACUUGCCCCGAGAUGAGUUCUCCCUGACCCUUUAAGGGUCCUGAAGGAACGUUGAAGACGACGACGUUGAUAGGCCGGGUGUGUAAGCGCAGCGAUGCGUUGAGCUAACCGGUACUAAUGAACCGUGAGGCUUAACCUU